CUCCCAGACUCCUACGGGAGGCAGCAGUGGGGGAUAUUGCACAAUGGGGGGAACCCUGAUGCAGCGACGCCGCGUGGGUGAAGGAGUGCUUCGGCAUGUAAAGCCCUAUCGGCAGGGAAGAAGCAAGACGGUACCUGACUAAGAAGCCCCGGCUAACUACGUGCCAGCAGCCGCGGUAAUACGUAGGGGGCAAGCGUUAUCCGGAUUUACUGGGUGUAAAGGGAGCGUAGACGGUGAUGCAAGUCAGAAGUGAAAGCCCGGGGCUCAACUCCGGGACUGCUUUUGAAACUGUGUGACUGGAGUGCAGGAGAGGUAAGCGGAAUUCCUGGUGUAGCGGUGAAAUGCGUAGAUAUCAGGAGGAACACCAGUGGCGAAGGCGGCUUACUGGACUGUAACCGACGUUGAGGCUCGAAAGCGUGGGGAGCAAACAGGAUUAGAUACCCGCGUAUA
rnacentral:rRNA from 1 species